rnacentral:rRNA from 1 species
UACAGAGGUCUCAAGCGUUGUUCGGAUUCAUUGGGCGUAAAGGGUGCGUAGGUGGCGCGGUAAGUCGGGUGUGAAAUUCGACGGCUUAACUCCGAAACUGCAUUCGAUACUGCCGUGCUUGAGGACUGGAGAGGAGACUGGAAUUUACGGUGUAGCAGUGAAAUGCGUAGAGAUCGUAAGGAAGACCAGUGGCGAAGGCGGGUCUCUGGACAGUUCCUGACGCUGAGGCACGAAGGCCAGGGGAGCAAACGGG